GCCGAUUCUUCAUCUGACGUCCUGCCCUGGAGGGGGUUAUCUGGGGUUGGCCCGAGACACAACAGCGCCAUAUUAUAAACACAUAUGUGUCGUGGUCGUCAAAAGUAGUUGUUGAGCAGUGUACCUGCGUGUGAGCCCCUAGUCUACAACCGGGCCCCCAGGUGCAGUCAGGUGAUGUCUGAAGGAGCAGCUUCAUAUAAUUAUACAUCUUCACGACCUUCAUGCAGUCAUCAAUUGUACUCAUACCUGCUGAACCCAUUGAGUAAGAUAUGUUCUCCAUUUUUGAUUUGCAUAUUUAAUCAUAUCACUUUAGAGUUAAUUUAAAAAAGGAUGAAAGAUACCAUGUUCCAGUUCACUCCUUUUAUUAAACCUUAGAUGUUGAUGAUAAUCAUAUUUCCAAUACCCUCACGCAUUUGUCCUUAAUGACAAAAAAUGCCAGCUUCCUAUGAAAAGCUUUUCGGUUUGAAAUAUAAAUAUAACAUGAUUUGGGAGUUUUAACCCUUUGAAAGACGGUAUGUUUACAGAGCUCCACUGUUUGAAAAAAAACCUUUUCCCUACAUACACACCAUUAUUCAAGUUCAAGACACACACAGAACACUGUGCAAAGAUUGACAUUUUGCUGCAUGCGUUGAAUGGGAAAAUAUAGCGUCGUCUUGUGGACAAAUACAUGCUAUGUGGACAAAAACAAACAUUAGGUAGUGAAAGCCACUAGUCCCAAAUGAAAUCUUAACAUAAAAGACUGCAUUGGUUUAUGGUCAAAGGGUGAAACAAAAAUGGCAUUUUCAUUGGAUUUAAAUGGGAGAUUUUUUGUGUGAAGAGGAACAAAUAUGUCGCUUUUGUAGUAUUACCAU